GAUGAACGCUGGCGGCGUGCCUAAUACAUGCAAGUCGAGCGAACAGACGAGGAGCUUGCUCCUCUGACGUUAGCGGCGGACGGGUGAGUAACACGUGGAUAACCUACCUAUAAGACUGGGAUAACUUCGGGAAACCGGAGCUAAUACCGGAUAAUAUAUUGAACCGCAUGGUUCAAUAGUGAAAGACGGUUUUGCUGUCACUUAUAGAUGGAUCCGCGCCGCAUUAGCUAGUUGGUAAGGUAACGGCUUACCAAGGCAACGAUGCGUAGCCGACCUGAGAGGGUGAUCGGCCACACUGGAACUGAGACACGGUCCAUACUCCUACGGGAGGCAGCAGUAGGGAAUCUUCCGCAAUGGGCGAAAGCCUGACGGAGCAACGCCGCGUGAGUGAUGAAGGUCUUCGGAUCGUAAAACUCUGUUAUUAGGGAAGAACAAAUGUGUAAGUAAAUAUGCACGUCUUGACGGUACCUAAUCAGAAAGCCACGGCUAACUACGUG
rnacentral:rRNA from 1 species